rnacentral:rRNA from 1 species
UACGUAGGGUGCAAGCGUUGUCCGGAAUUAUUGGGCGUAAAGGGCUCGUAGGCGGUCCAUUGCGUCGGGUGUGAAAAGCUGGGGCUUAACCCCAGUCCUGCUUCCGAUACGGGUGGACUAGAGGUAGGUAGGGGAGAUCGGAAUUCCUGGUGUAGCGGUGAAAUGCGCAGAUAUCAGGAGGAACACCGGUGGCGAAGGCGGAUCUCUGGGCCGUACCUGACGCUGAGGAGCGAAAGCGUGGGGAGCAAACAGG